rnacentral:tRNA from 1 species
GGAGAGUUGGCUGAGCGGUUGAAAGCGGCGGUCUUGAAAACCGUUGUAGCGCAAGCUACCUGGGGUUCGAAUCCCUAACUCUCCGCCA